rnacentral:rRNA from 1 species
CCUACGGGGGGCAGCAGUGAGGAAUAUUGGUCAAUGGACGAGAGUCUGAACCAGCCAAGUAGCGUGAAGGAUGACUGCCCUAUGGGUUGUAAACUUCUUUUAUAUGGGAAUAAAAUGUUCCACGUGUGGGCUUUUGUAUGUACCAUAUGAAUAAGGAUCGGCUAACUCCGUGCCAGCAGCCGCGGUAAUACGGAGGAUCCGAGCGUUAUCCGGAUUUAUUGGGUUUAAAGGGUGCGUAGGUGGAUUGUUAAGUCAGUUGUGAAAGUUUGCGGCUCAACCGUAAAAUUGCAGUUGAAACUGGCAGUCUUGAGUACAGUAGAGGUAGGCGGAAUGCGUGGUGUAGCGGUGAAAUGCUUAGAUAUCACGAAGAACUCCGAUUGCGAAGGCAGCUCACUGGACUGCAACUGACACUGAGGCUCGAAAGUGUGGGUAUCAAACAGGAUUAGAUACCCUUGUAGUC